rnacentral:rRNA from 1 species
AUACGUAGGAGGCUAACGUUAUCCGGAUUUACUGGGCGUAAAGCGCGUGCAGGCGGUUCGGUAAGUUGGACGUGAAAGCUCCCGGCUCAACUGGGAGAGGUCGUUCAAUACUGUCGGACUUGAGGAUGGUAGAGGGAGGUGGAAUUCCGGGUGUAGUGGUGAAAUGCGCAGAUAUCCGGAGGAACACCAGUGGCGAAAGCGGCCUCCUGGACCAUUCCUGACGCUCAGACGCGAAAGCUAGGGUAGCAAACGGGAUUAGAGACCCCGGUAGUCCUAGCUGUAAACGAUGUGAACUUGGCGUCGGUGGGAUUAAAUCCAUCGGUGUCGAAGCUAACGCGAUAAGUUCACCGCCUGAGGACUACGGCCGCAAGGUUAAA